UUGUCUCAAAGACUAAGCCAUGCAUGUCUAAGUACAAGCCUUAACACGGUGAAACCUCGAAUGGCUCAUUAAAUCAGUUAUGGUUCCUUAGAUCGUACAAUCCUACUUGGAUAACUGUGGCAAUUCUAGAGCUAAUACAUGCUUAUUAAGCUCCGACCCUCGUGGAAAGAGCGCUUUUAUUAGUUCAAAACCAAUCGUAUGCUGGUCUCGGCCGGCCGCGUCCGCUUUGGUGACUCUGGAUAACUUUGUGCUGAUCGCAUGGCCUUGUGCCGGCGACACAUCUUUCAAAUGUCUGCCCUAUCAAAUGUCGAUGGUACGUGAUAUGCCUACCAUGUUUGUAACUGGUAACGGGGAAUCAUGGUUCUAUUCCGGAGAUGGAGCAUUAGAAACGGCGACCACAUCCAAGGAAGGCAGCAGGCGCGCAACUUACCCACUCCCGGCACGGGGAGGUAGUGACGAAAAAUAACAAUACGGGACUCUUUCGAGGCCCCGUAAUUGGAAUGAGUACACUUUAAACCCUUUAACGAGGAUCUAUUGGAGGGCAAGUCUGGUGCCAGCAGCCGCGGUAAUUCCAGCUCCAAUAGCGUAUAUUAAAGUUGUUGCAGUUAAAAAGCUCGUAGUUGGAUCGCAGGUGCAGGCGGGCGGUCCGACUCGCGUCGGUUCACUGCCCGUAUCUCCUGCCCUUGCCCUACCUGCCGGUUUUCCCCCGGUGCUCUUCGCUGAGAGCCUCGGGAGGCCGGCACGAUUCCUUUGCCCCACUUAGAGAGUGUUCAAAGCAGGCAGUUCGCCUGAAUAAUGGUGCAUGGAAUAAUAGAAUAGGACCUCGUUCUAUUUUGUUGGUUUUUCGGAACUUGAGUAAUGAUUAAGAGGGACAGACGGGGGCAUUCGUAUUACACUGUUAGAGGUGAAAUUCUUGGAUCGGUGUAAGACGAACUACUGCGAAAGCAUUUGCCAAGAAUGUUUUCAUUAAUCAAGAACGAAAGUCAGAGGUUCGAAGACGAUCAGAUACCGUCGUAGUUCUGACCAUAAACGAUGCCAGCUAGGGAUUCGCCGGAGUUGUUUCAAUGACUCGGCGAGACCUUCCGGGGAAACCAAAGCUUUUGGGUUCGGGGGAAGUAUGGUUGCAAAGCUGAAACUUAAAGGAAUUGACGGAAGGGCACCACCAGGAGUGGAGCCUGCGGCUUAAUUUGACAACACGGGGAAACUCACCCGGCCCGGACACUGUAAGGAUUGACAGAUUGAGAGAGCUCUUUUGAUUCGGGGUGGGUGGUGGUGCAUGGCCGUUCUUAGUUGGUGGAGCGAUUUGUCUGGUUAAUUCCGAUAACGAACGAGACUCUAGCCUAUUAAAUAGUUCGCCGAUUCUGUCUCGUCGGCGUCACCUUACCAGGGCUUAGGGACAAGUGGCGUUUAGCCACACGAGAUUGAGCAAUAACAGCUCUGUGAUGCCCUUCGAUGUCCGGGGCCGCACGCGCGCUACACUGAAGGAAUCAGCGUGGAUACCCCCCUGCUCCGAAAGGAGUGGGAAACCCGUUGAAUCUCCUUCGUGCUAGGGAUUGGGGCUUGUAAUUCUUCCCCAUGAACGAGGAAUUCCCAGUAAGCGCGAGUCAUAAGCUCGCGUUGACUACGUCCCUGCCCUUUGUACACACCGCCCGUCGCUACUAUCGAUUGAGCGGUUCAGUGAGCACCUCGGAUUGGUCUCGGUCUGGCGUGCAAGCGUUGGACUGUUGGCCGAGAAGACGUUCAAACUCGAUCGCUUGGAGAAAGCAAAAGUCGUAACAAGGUUUC
rnacentral:rRNA from 1 species